GUGAACUCUGCCACUAGCCAGGCCCACUUUUGGGCGUGGCUAGAGGCCUGCACACUUUCUGAAUUUCCUCUUCAAAGCACAAGUGUGGACAGAACAUGGUAUUCUAGACCUACUUGGUGCCACCUUCCCUGUUUUGAACAACUUGCUACACUGACAGUCACUACCAGCAGCACAAGAGGACCAUGGUGGGAGUGUCAGUUAAGCAUCCAUGAAGCUACUUAGAAGGCCAAAUGGCCACUAAUAUUCAGACAUAUUAGGCUGAAUGGAGGCAUAAAUUUGUGAACUUUUAAGGUGCUGAAGGAAGAAUAGCAUGGGGAUUUCAACCCUGAAUUUGGAGGACACCAGUAAAUGUCUGCACCCCAUGCCCAUGCAUCUGCAUAAAUUGUGAUGGAUAAGAAGGAGAUGAUCUUGUUCCCAGCUGUCCACUUCCUAAACAAGUGUGGUGCUAACUCCUUCACACAAGAAGAGAUAGAGCUUCCUGAGUAAUCCAGAUUCAUUUUAUAAGGAGGGGUCAUGGUAGUACCCCAGACUAUCCUGGAACUCAAUACAUAGUUCAGAGCAUUUGUCUUCUCAGAUAUGAACUGGAACACUUUGUAAUGGCCUCUACUCACAGAAAGGUAGCAUGGCAUGGCCCAAGCUUGUACAGUACUUCAUGGCACUUGCUGGCUACAGGAUCUUGGAAAGACUUUUAUAGUUUUGAGGAGAAUCAGUUAGAGUUCAUCCUGACAGAAUAAUGAAAGAAACAAACUAAACUCACCGAAACAAAAUGUUUAUCAGGUAAAUAUGCAAACAUUCCUGUUACAGAAGACAGAAUGAAGGAAGAAAAAUUCGUUAUAUCCUGAGACUGCAGCCCUGAAUAUCUGACUUGAUUUUACUUAAAGAAAUAGCACAAAUGAGCCAAUGAAUCAGCCAGGAAUUAUUUGCCUACCUUACCCAGUGGAGUUUUUCAUGCUCCUUCAAUGUUAAAUUCUGAAAUGGUCCACCCUCAGCUGCCUCCUCUGAUGUGAACUUGCCAGCAUGCACAUGUGUGAAAGGAAAAUUGUGUAAAUUAAACCAGAAGUCUUG